rnacentral:rRNA from 1 species
GGAUCCAGACUUUGAUUCUGGCUCAGGACGAACGCUGGCGGCGUGCCUAACACAUGCAAGUCGGACGGAACUGUUUUGAAAGAUUUCUUCGGAAUGAAUUUGAUUUAGUUUAGUGGCGGACGGGUGAGUAACGCGUGAGUAACCUGCCUUCGAGAGGGGGAUAACAUUCUGAAAAGAAUGCUAAUACCGCAUGACAUAUCGGAACCACAUGGUUCUGAUAUCAAAGAUUUUAUCGCUUGAAGAUGGGCUCGCGUCCGAUUAGUUAGUUGGUGAGGUAACGGCUCACCAAGACCGCGAUCGGUAGCCGGACUGAGAGGUUGAACGGCCACAUUGGGACUGAGACACGGCCCAGACUCCUACGGGAGGCAGCAGUGGGGGAUAUUGCGCAAUGGGGGCAACCCUGACGCAGCAACGCCGCGUGAAGGAUGAAGGUUUUCGGAUUGUAAACUUCUUUUAUUAAGGACGAAAAUUGACGGUACUUAAUGAAUAAGCUCCGGCUAACUACGUGCCAGCAGCCGCGGUAAUACGUAGGGAGCAAGCGUUGUCCGGAUUUACUGGGUGUAAAGGGUGCGUAGGCGGCUUUGCAAGUCAGAUGUGAAAUCUAUGGGCUCAACCCAUAAACUGCAUUUGAAACUGUAGAGCUUGAGUGAAGUAGAGGCAGGCGGAAUUCCCCGUGUAGCGGUGAAAUGCGUAGAGAUGGGGAGGAACACCAGUGGCGAAGGCGGCCUGCUGGGCUUUAACUGACGCUGAGGCACGAAAGCGUGGGUAGCAAACAGGAUUAGAUACCCUGGUAGUCCACGCUGUAAACGAUGAUUACUAGGUGUGGGGGGUCUGACCCCUUCCGUGCCGGAGUUAACACAAUAAGUAAUCCACCUGGGGAGUACGACCGCAAGGUUGCAACUCAAAUGAAUUGACGG